rnacentral:rRNA from 1 species
GGAAUUUUCCGCAAUGGGCGAAAGCCUGACGGAGCAAUACCGCGUGAGGGAUGACGGCCUGUGGGUUGUAAACCUCUUUUCUCAAGGAAGAAGUUCUGACGGUACUUGAGGAAUAAGCAUCGGCUAACUCUGUGCCUGCAGCCGCGGUAAUACAGAGGAUGCAAGCGUUAUCCGGAAUCACUGGGCAUAAAGCGUCUGUAGGUGGUUUGGUAAGUCUGCUGUUAAAGACUGGGGCUCAACCCCAGAAAAGCAGUGGAAACUGCCAGACUUGAGUGUGGUAGAGGUAGAGGGAAUUCCUAGUGUAGCGGUGAAAUGCGUAGAUAUUAGGAAGAACACCAAUGGCGAAGGCACUCUACUGGACCAUAACUGACACUGAGAGACGACAGCUAGGGGAGCAAAUGGGAUUAGAUACCCCAGUAGUCCUAGCCGUAAACGAUGGAUACUAGAUGUUGCACGUAUUAACCCGUGCAGUAUCGUAGCUAAGGCGUUAAGUAUCCCGCCUGGGAAGUACGCUCGCAAGAGUGAAACUCAAAUGAAUUGACGG